AGAGUUUGAUCCUGGCUCAGGAUGAACGCUAGCGGCAGGCCUAAUACAUGCAAGUCGUACGGCAACACAGUUGCGAGCAAUCGCAACCGGUGGCGAGUGGCGCACGGGUGAGUAACGCGUAUGUAACCUACCCUUCUCCGGGACAUAACUCCGCGAAAGCGGUGCUAAUAUCCCAUACCAACUCAUCAAGACAUCUUCUUGAGUUGAAAGCAGCAAUGCGGUGAAGGAUGGGCAUGCGUCCCAUUAGCUGGUUGGUGAGGUAAUGGCCCACCAAGGCUACGAUGGGUAGGGGUUCUGAGAGGAAAGCCCCCCACACUGGUACUGAGACACGGACCAGACUCCUACGGGAGGCAGCAGUAAGGAAUAUUGGGCAAUGGUCGAAAGACUGACCCAGCCAUGCCGCGUGCAGGAUGAAGGCCCUAUGGGUUGUAAACUGCUUUUAGCCGGGAAUAAACACCCGUUUUAUAACGGGCCCGAAGGUACCGGCUGAAUAAGCAUCGGCUAACUCCGUGCCAGCAGCCGCGGUAAUACGGAGGAUGCAAGCGUUAUCCGGAUUCACUGGGUUUAAAGGGUGCGCAGGCGGACAUUUAAGUCAGGGGUGAAAUCCUACAGCUUAACUGUAGAACUGCCCUUGAUACUGAAUGCCUAGAGUAAAGCUGAAGUGGGCGGAAUGUGUUGUGUAGCGGUGAAAUGCUUAGAUAUAACACAGAACACCAAUCGCGAAGGCAGCUCACUAAACUUUAACUGACGCUCAUGCACGAAAGCGUGGGGAGCAAACAGGAUUAGAUACCCUGGUAGUCCACGCCCUAAACGAUGAUCACUCGCUGUUGGCGAUAUAUUGUCAGUGGCUAAGCAAAAGUGAUAAGUGAUCCACCUGGGGAGUACGACCGCAAGGUUGAAACUCAAAGGAAUUGACGGGGGCCCGCACAAGCGGAGGAGCAUGUGGUUUAAUUCGAUGAUACGCGAGGAACCUUACCAGGGCUCGAACGCAGGAGGAAUACUCCCGAAAGGAAGUAGCCAGAAAUGGCCGCCUGCGAGGUGCUGCAUGGUUGUCGUCAGCUCGUGCCGUGAGGUGUCAGGUUAAGUCCUAUAACGAGCGCAACCCCUAUUCAUAGUUGCCAGCAUAUUACGGUGGGGACUCUAUGAAAACUGCCUGCGCAAGCAGUGAGGAAGGUGGGGAUGACGUCAAAUCAGCACGGCCCUUAUGUCCUGGGCUACACACGUGCUACAAUGGCCGGUACAGAAGGCCGCAACCACGCAAGUGGAAGCUAAUCCCUAAAACCGGUCUCAGUUCGGAUUGGAGUCUGCAACCCGACUCCAUGAAGCCGGAUUCGCUAGUAAUCGCACAUCAGCCAUGGCGCGGUGAAUACGUUCCCGGGCCUUGUACACACCGCCCGUCAAGCCAUGGAAGCUGGGGGUGCCUGAAGUCCGUAACCCCGACUACUCGAGGAGCGGCCUAAGGUAAACUCAGUGACUGGGGCUAAGUCGUAACAAGGUAGCCGUACCGGAAGGUGCGGCUGGAAUACCU
rnacentral:rRNA from 1 species